GCAGUGCACGAAAACGGGUGCAAUGACAAGUGAAAGUAAAAUAUUUAAACUAGCAAAUCCAAUGACAACCAAACAGCCGUGGGAAGCAAACAAGAAAGUAUGAGCAUACUGGCUCUAAAAGGAGUCUCUCUGGGGAGAAAGUGGAGGCGGGCAGUGCCUCCAAAGAAAUGUCACUGAUGGAAUUGACAUUUACAAUGAAGCUGGAAGGUGAGUUGUAUGUAUGGGACUGACACAGAUUCCAAACAGCAUAUCUAUCACAAAUAUUGAUAUUAAUUGUAGAGCUCAGAAGUGAUAUUAUAUUAUAAGGCAGAAGUAGCCUGGGUACUAAUCUGUUUGUGCCAUCAUGUCACUCCUUGGCAUACAAGGAGUGGCAAGGAAUGGCGUAAUGGCACAAACAGAUUGGACCCAGGCUAAGGCAGAAGAUAAUAUUGACCGAAGAUCUGUCUCUGUUGUGUUGAAGCCAAAUCCAGCAGGAGAGACCAGUCUCACCUGUACCCAGCUGUCUGUCCAUGCAAACAGACAUGUCUAUUGAUCCUCUGUUCAACUUCAUGACAGAAAAUAUAUCUACUGAUCAAAAGCCUUUCUGGUUUGUGUUCUCUUGUUCUGCUCAUUUGUUUCUAAUCAAUAUUUUGAAGCAAACAGUAAAUCACCAACGUCCUGUAGUUUUAUGAGUUACAUUGAAUGUGCUUCUUUACGGGGCCCAGCAGCAGAGACCAGUUCUGUCCACGAACAGUGACCAGUCAAUGGGACAUCAAGAACACUUCAGGGAUGGGAACACUGGGCAUGCGUAAUAAAUUAUCACGGCUCCCUCUUUUAUCGUCUUUAUGUCUCCACAUUAAGGCAUGGAGUCAGGACUCCCUUAUGUUUGACCUUGGGUCUAAGUUCUCUGCUGACAGGAUCCAAGAGGAGAGAGCCAAUUCUCCUGGACCAAGCUUUGAGUCCUUUAAGAGUGACUGGUCAAUGGUUCAUCCGAAAACACAAUUCGGGUAGGAAGGCAUUUGUACUGAUCAAAGGUGAGUGCUUUAGAUCUUAGAGCUAGACAGACAAUUGCUGUAUUCCACCAUGUGCCAGAUUCUUUCUGGGGGGAUGAUGAUCAUCGAUAAGGUAGCACUGUGAUGCGUGUUAUGUCACAUGUGUGCAGAGACCAGCAAGAGAGAUCGGAGUCAGACAUUCCCCGUGGCCGGUCUACGGCAGACAUGUCCUCCAUAUUCAAGGUGAACUGACUCGUGUCUUACAGUUAAAAGUGAAUGGAUAGUUUUUUGAUAUCUUUGUGACCUUUAACCUCUGACUACUGUAUGUAGUCUUUAAACCCCACAAGGCUCAAUGACCCACCAGGUAAUUCAAAUUAUGAAAUAUGAUUACAGCAUUAAACUUUCAGAUAAAUGUUUGUUCUUUACAUAUUAAGUCCUGUUUUUGCCUAUUCCAGUUGGUUGAAGACCAAGUCAUCACAUUUGUAAAGAGUGAAUUAAAGAAGUUCAAGAAGAUUCAGAGUCCAGAUCACCCAGAAUGCUCUAACAGUCAGGGGAAGGGUGGUGGUGUACGGUGAAGAUGAGAACCAGGAGAGCAGUGCCAGAGAGGGGGCUCUGAAGAUCACACUGCACAUCCUGAGGAACAUGAACCAGAAAGAGCUCACUGACACACUGGAGAACAAUCUUUUAGGUGAGCUUGCUGUACGUCAACCUAAACUCAAGAUAUCAGUUGAUAUUUUCACUUCCUUUUCAAGAGCUGAUUUAAAAAAUAAAAUGGAAAUAAGAGUCCGCAAUCUCAGACUUCAACAACUAUAAUGUGCUGUUUGUAUUUGAUGGUCUGGUGUGAUGUUUCAAAGUCAACCUCAGUGGAAGUGCUGCUGACAAACCUCAUUCAGGGGAAUCUGCUUCCCUAUGCUCACAUCUGGAUAACCUCCCGACCAGCAGCUGCUAGUCAAUUUGAAUACCUGAGUUUUUCCCAGUGUACAUUGUGGAUCCUCCAGUAUGGCAGAGAGCAGCUUCACCCCUGAGUCUCCUGGGUGAUUGUAGCUCAGGUCCAGCUUUCUCACAUGAAGGUUUGGACCGCAGCGCUUCAGCUAGAGAAGCACAGCCUUCCUUUGCGACUCCACAGAAGGACAAACUGCAAAUAAUAUGAAUUUCACUCCAAGUAGUUGGUUGGAAGUAGGCUAGAGUGUGAUCCGCCUCGAUCCACGUUGAGUGAAAAUCUAGUAACAAACCGUUUGAUGCUUAAAAUGUGAGUUUACUUUAGUAAUUGUAAUAUCAUAAACUGAUUUUACUAACCUGAGUGUCUGCAGUUUAGACCCUCCAGUCCAGCAGAGCAGCUUCACUCCUGAAUUCUGAUGCCUGUGAGCCAACACUGGACGCAAACACGGCACACAGAAAACUCUGUCAGAGGGGAACAUGGGGGAGAGAAGAGCAGCCGUAUCCUGAUCACCCAGAGAGAUGGGAGGGCUGUUGGCAGGUGCUGUGUAAAGAGGGUCUGAAUAGGCGCAGUUAUUGGGAGUCGGAUCGAAGAGGAAAUGGGAGUGACAGAGAAACAUCGGCAGGAGUGGAGAGUGACUGUUGGCUUCGACGUAAUGACAAGUCCUGGAGUUUGCGAUGCUUUGACAACAGUUACAUCGCCUUCCAUAAUGCUAGGAGUAUUGCUUUACCUGCUCCCUCGUCUUAUUCGAACAGAGUAGGAGUGUAUCUGGACUGGCUGGCACUCUGUCCUUCUAGUGUCUCCUCUGGUACACUGACCCAUCUGCAUACAUUCUACUCCACAUUUUCUAACAGUAAAAUCAUAAUCAAUACUCAGUCUGCCUGUACUUUAAUAUAUUCUUUAUUUUCUUAAACAAAAUUGAAGUAAAAACCUUUAUUUAGAAAGACAAAUUCCCUGUCAGUAGCGUUCCACCUAAGGUUCUUGAUUUAGGGCCUCCAGUAGACUCCCGUCUAUUGGGUUGUUCUCUUCUACUGUGUGAGUCAACGUAAGAAUAUUACACCAGAGUCAGUACCAUCUCUAACUCCCUACUAGCUCAUGAAUUAACUCACUAACUUGUGAAUUAACUCAUGCAGACUUUCGAGAAACACAGUGGGAAGAAUGUUAACAGCAAAUAGUGUUAAAAGAAAGUUAAAAACAGCAGUGUCCGUUACAAAUGCUGAAGAAAGAAAGCAAACAUGUGAGCAGGUGAGCUGUAUAGUACACAUCGUUGUCCAGUCACCUCUGGCAGUGUUUUCAACUAGUAUUGAAA